rnacentral:misc_RNA from 2 species
CCGAGUGAGGGCCCUCUGGGUCCAACCUCCCACCCGUGUUUAUUUUACCUUGUUGCUUCGGCGAGCCUGCCUUUUGGCUGCCGGGGGACGUCUGUCCCCGGGUCCGCGCUCGCCGAAGACACCUUAGAACUCUGUCUGAAGAUUGUAGUCUGAGAUUAAAUAUAAAUUAUUUA